rnacentral:rRNA from 1 species
GACGAACGCUGGCGGCGUGCUUAACACAUGCAAGUCGAACGGAAAGGCCCUGCGUUUGUGGGUUGCUCGAGUGGCGAACGGGGGAGUAACACGUGAGUAACCUGCCCUUGACUUUGGGAUAACUUCAGGAAACUCGGGCUAAUACCGGAUAGGAUCUCCUGCUGCAUAGUGGGGGUUGGAGAGAUUCGGCCGUUGGGGAUGGAUUCGCGGGUUAUGCGCUUGUUUGGGGGGUAGGGGCGUACCAAGGGUUUGACGGGUAGGCGGCCUGGGAGGGUGGCCGGCCACAUGGCGCCUGCGGUAGGCCGCAGAAGGGUACGGUCCGCAACAGUCGGAAGUCUUGCGCAGUGACCGGACGUGUGUGGUGGAAGCGCCGCGUGCGGGAUGCCGGGCUUCUGGUGGUAAACAGAUUUCGAAGUUGACGAGCCGUGAGUGACGGUAAUGAGUAAAGAAGCCACGGCUAACUACGUG